ACCACACUGUUAUGGGAUCUUUGGGGCAUC
rnacentral:piRNA from 2 species